rnacentral:rRNA from 1 species
GACGAACGCUGGCGGCGCGCUUAACACAUGCAAGUCGAACGGAAAGGCCUGCUUUCCCUUGUGGAUUGCGGGUACUCGAGUGGCGAACGGGUGAGUAACACGUGAGUGAUCUGCCCCCAACUUGGGUAUAAGCCUGGGAAACUGGGUCUAAUUCCCGAUAGGACUGCAGGGUGGUGCCCGUGGUGGAAAACGAUUUUCUAGUGGUUGGGGAUGAGCUCGCGGCCUAUCAGCUUGUUGGUGGGGUAAUGGCCUACCAAGGCGGCGACGGGUAGCCGGCCUGAGAGGGUGGACGGCCACAUUGGGACUGAGAUACGGCCCAGAAUCCUACGGGAGGCAGCAGUGGGGAAUAUUGCACAAUGGGCGGAAGCCUGAUGCAGCGACGCCGCGUGGGGGAUGACGGCCUUCGGGUUGUAAACUCCUUUCGACCGCGAGGAAGCCACCUGGUUGGAAGGGUGGUGACGGUAGUGGUAGAAGAAGCACCGGCUAACUACGUG